AUCAUUUUGCCUUGCCUUGUAAGCUGAGCUCCUUUCUACUGGUGUGCCUGCAGCUCAAGCUUGCUGUGUGGAGAGGUGGGGGCUUUGAUCCCAUCUUCGGGAUGUUAGUAAAGCCAGACAUCUGUGAUGCCUCCCUGAUCAUAGUACUCAUGAGCAGGUUUGGUUUGACCCUCACCUCUAAGUCUACACCACUUCAAGUAGGAACUUUCUGGAAAGAGAUUGACUAUGGACUGGCUGUCCCUGGAAGAGAAUGUUCACCUUCAACACACACUCGUCCCACACCAGCUCCGCUCCUCACACCCUCUCCCACAUUACAGCGCGGAUUCUCAACUUCAAUGUUCAAAGUGCAUCACGUGUGUUGCCGUGGCACAGGGGGGAUUUUGAGCAGAGUCAGGCGGGGUGCUAUCGCCAUGUCUCAUCUGCCUUUUCUUCCCCCAAAGAGAAACAUUUCGUUUGCUUCAUUUUCUAGGCUUACCACUAAUUCCUCCUCAGAGAAUUCACCAGAAACACAAACAUCCUGAAUCUGCUAGAAGUCAGCAACCAUCUCAGUUUUAGUCUCUUGGGGAGACCCCCUGCCCUCCUUGGCGACUGUCCACCGUGGCACUCCAUGCAGGACAGUCUUUUGCCUGGAUUUGCUCUGACUCCAUUCUAGACCUUCCUCCUCAGUCACACUGGGGAUCACCCGUGUGAUCCCGUGCCGGGGUUCUACACGGGUCCUAUUUAUCAUUCCCGCUUUAUUCCCCUCAUUCUCUGUGUCUGGUGAUCUGUGUUGCUCUAAAGCGGGGCUUCUCAACCUGUGGGUCUUGACCCCUUCACCAAACCUCUGUCUCCAAACAUAUUUACAUUGUGAUUCAGAGAGUAGCAAAGUUACAGUUAUGAAGUAGCAAUGAAAAUUAUUUUGUGGUUAGGGGGUCACCCCAACAUGAGGAACUGUAUUAAAGGGUGGCAGCCUUAGGAAGGUUGGGAACCAACCACUGCUCUAUAGUGACUCAAGAAAAGAAUAUAUGAGAGCUGCGUUGUUGAGAAUUAUUGAGAACUGAAAAUGUUUUUUUUUUUUUUUACAAAAGCAUUUGUUUUUAUUUAUGCAUCCUUGUGUGUGUUUUCCACAUGCACACAGGUGCCCAAGGAGGCCAGAAGAGGGUGUUGGA